GGAUAUGAGGAUGAUCUGACUGCAACAUCCAACUCCCCAGUGAUCUCCAGAGUUGAUUUGACUGAUCUGGCUGACUAGGUGGGUGACCCGUCCUCUCUCACUGUUCCCAAAGCUGCAAACGUGAUCAAAGGACAAUCAUCCCAGAUAGAGGAGGACAGUUUCUUCUGUCAAAGGUAUAUGAGUAGCUGAACUUGCUUGCUAGGACCUCCAAACAAGCUCUCAAAAGUUCAAGGCCAGGCCAGGGAAUGGCUCAGUGGAAUAAGCGCUUC
rnacentral:snRNA from 1 species